UAGAGUUUGAUCCGGCUCAGGAUGAACGCUAGCUACAGGCUUAACACAUGCAAGUCGAGGGGCAGCAUGAUCUUAGCUUGCUAAGAUUGAUGGCGACCGGCGCACGGGUGAGUAACACGUAUCCAACCUGCCGUCUACUUGGGGAUAGCCUUCUGAAAGGAAGAUUAAUACCCGAUGCGAUCUGUCGGCCGCAUGGCUGAUGGAUGAAAGAUUGAUUGGUAGACGAUGGGGAUGCGUUCCAUUAGGUUGUUGGCGGGGUAACGGCCCACCAAGCCGACGAUGGAUAGGGGUUCUGAGAGGAAGGUCCCCCACAUUGGAACUGAGACACGGUCCAAACUCCUACGGGAGGCAGCAGUGAGGAAUAUUGGUCAAUGGACGAGAGUCUGAACCAGCCAAGUAGCGUGAAGGAUGACUGCCCUAUGGGUUGUAAACUUCUUUUAUACGGGAAUAAAGUGCACCACGUGUGGUGUUUUGUAUGUACCGUUAUGAAUAAGCAUCGGCUAACUCCGUGCCAGCAGCCGCGGUAAUACGGAGGAUGCGAGCGUUAUCCGGAUUUAUUGGGUUUAAAGGGAGCGCAGACGGGUCUUUAAGUCAGUUGUGAAAGUCUGCGGCUCAACCGUAGAAUUGCAGUUGAAACUGGAGACCUUGAGUGCGGACGAGGAAGGCGGAAUUCGUGGUGUAGCGGUGAAAUGCUUAGAUAUCACGAAGAACUCCGAUUGCGAAGGCAGCCUUCCAGGCCGUAACUGACGUUCAUGCUCGAAAGUGCGGGUAUCAAACAGGAUUAGAUACCCUGGUAGUCCGCACGGUAAACGAUGAAUACUCGCUGUUGGCGAUAGACAGUCAGCGGCCACGCGAAAGCAUUAAGUAUUCCACCUGGGGAGUACGCCGGCAACGGUGAAACUCAAAGGAAUUGACGGGGGCCCGCACAAGCGGAGGAACAUGUGGUUUAAUUCGAUGAUACGCGAGGAACCUUACCCGGGCUUAAAUUGCAGCGGCAUGUAUUGGAAACAGUACAGUGAGCAAUCACCGCUGUGAAGGUGCUGCAUGGUUGUCGUCAGCUCGUGCCGUGAGGUGUCGGCUUAAGUGCCAUAACGAGCGCAACCCUUGCCGGUAGUUGCCAUCAGGUAAAGCCUGGGGACUCUUCCGGGACGGCCAUCGUAAGAUGUGAGGAAGGUGGGGAGGACGUCAAAUCAUCACGGCCCUAACGUCCGGGGAUACACACGUGUUACAGUGGGGGGUACAGCAGGCAGAUACCUGGUGACCGGAUGCAAAUCCCGAAAACCCCUCUCAGUUUGGAUUGGAGUUUGCAACCCGACUCCAUGAAGCCGGAUUAUCUAGUAAUCGCGCAUCAGCCACGGCGCGGUGAAUACGUUCCCGGACCUUGCACACACCGCCCGUCA
rnacentral:rRNA from 1 species